rnacentral:rRNA from 1 species
UUCAAAUUGAGAGUUUGAUCCUGGCUCAGGAUGAACGCUGGCGGCGUGCCUAAUACAUGCAAGUCGAACGCACAGCGAAAGGUGCUUGCACCUUUCAAGUGAGUGGCGAACGGGUGAGUAACACGUGGACAACCUGCCUCAAGGCUGGGGAUAACAUUUGGAAACAGAUGCUAAUACCGAAUAAAACUUAGUGUCGCAUGACACAAAGUUAAAAGGCGCUUCGGCGUCACCUAGAGAUGGAUCCGCGGUGCAUUAGUGAGUUGGUGGGGUAAAGUCCUACCAAGACAAUGAUGCAUAGCCGAGUUGAGAGACUGAUCGGCCACAUUGGGACUGAGACACGGCCCAAACUCCUACGGGAGGCUGCAGUAGGGAAUCUUCCACAAUGGGCGAAAGGCUGAUUGAGCAACGCCGCGUGUGUGAUGAAGGCUUUCGGGUCGUAAAGCACUGUUGUAUGGGAAGAACAGCUAGAAUAGGAAAUGAUUUUAGUUUGACGGUACCAUACCAGAAAGGGACGGCUAAAUACGUGCCAGCAGCCGCGGUAAUACGUAUGUCCCGAGCGUUAUCCGGAUUUAUUGGGCGUAAAGCGAGCGCAGACGGUUUAUUAAGUCUGAUGUGAAAGCCCGGAGCUCAACUCCGGAAUGGCAUUGGAAACUGGUUAACUUGAGUGCAGUAGAGGUAAGUGGAACUCCAUGUGUAGCGGUGGAAUGCGUAGAUAUAUGGAAGAACACCAGUGGCGAAGGCGGCUUACUGGACUGCAACUGACGUUGAGGCUCGAAAGUGUGGGUAGCAAACAGGAUUAGAUACCCUGGUAGUCCACACCGUAAACGAUGAACACUAGGUGUUAGGAGGUUUCCGCCUCUUAGUGCCGAAGCUAACGCAUUAAGUGUUCCGCCUGGGGAGUACGACCGCAAGGUUGAAACUCAAAGGAAUUGACGGGGACCCGCACAAGCGGUGGAGCAUGUGGUUUAAUUCGAAGCAACGCGAAGAACCUUACCAGGUCUUGACAUCCUUUGAAGCUUUUAGAGAUAGAAGUGUUCUCUUCGGAGACAAAGUGACAGGUGGUGCAUGGUCGUCGUCAGCUCGUGUCGUGAGAUGUUGGGUUAAGUCCCGCAACGAGCGCAACCCUUAUUGUUAGUUGCCAGCAUUCAGAUGGGCACUCUAGCGAGACUGCCGGUGACAAACCGGAGGAAGGCGGGGACGACGUCAGAUCAUCAUGCCCCUUAUGACCUGGGCUACACACGUGCUACAAUGGCGUAUACAACGAGUUGCCAACCCGCGAGGGUGAGCUAAUCUCUUAAAGUACGUCUCAGUUCGGAUUGUAGUCUGCAACUCGACUACAUGAAGUCGGAAUCGCUAGUAAUCGCGGAUCAGCACGCCGCGGUGAAUACGUUCCCGGGUCUUGUACACACCGCCCGUCACACCAUGGGAGUUUGUAAUGCCCAAAGCCGGUGGCCUAACCUUUUAGGAAGGAGCCGUCUAAGGCAGGACAGAUGACUGGGGUGAAGUCGUAACAAGGUAGCCGUAGGAGAACCUGCGGCUGGAUCACCUCCUUUCUAAGGA